GGAGGUUUGCAAGCGUUGUUCGGAUUAACUGGGCGUAAAGGGAGCGCAGGCGGUCUAGUAAGUCUGGAGUGAAAGCCCGGGGCUCAACCUCGGAAGUGCUUCGGAUACUGCUAGACUUGAGUACGUGAGAGGAGAGCGGAAUUCCAGGUGUAGCGGUGAAAUGCGUAGAUAUCUGGAGGAACACCGGUGGCGAAAGCGGCUCUCUGGCACGAAACUGACGCUGAGGCUCGAAAGCGUGGGGGAGCGAACGGGAUUAGAUACCCCGGUAGUCCACGCCGUAAACGUUGUGCACUAGGUGUGGGAGGUAUCGAUCCCUUCCCGUGCCGAAGCUAACGCAUUAAGUGCACCGCCUGGGGAUACGGUCGCAAGACUG
rnacentral:rRNA from 1 species